rnacentral:rRNA from 1 species
CGCCGCGUGAGGGAUGACGGCCUUCGGGUUGUAAACCUCUUUCAGCAGGGAAGAAGCGAGAGUGACGGUACCUGCAGAAGAAGCGCCGGCUAACUACGUGCCAGCAGCCGCGGUAAUACGUAGGGCGCAAGCGUUGUCCGGAAUUAUUGGGCGUAAAGAGCUCGUAGGCGGCUUGUCGCGUCGGUUGUGAAAGCCCGGGGCUUAACCCCGGGUCUGCAGUCGAUACGGGCAGGCUAGAGUUUCGGUAGGGGAGAUCGGAAUUCCUGGUGUAGCGGUGAAAUGCGCAGAUAUCAGGAGGAACACCGGUGGCGAAGGCGGAUCUCUGGGCCGAUACUUGACGCUUGAGGAGCGAAAGCGUGGGGAGCGAACAGGAUUAGAUACCCUGGUAGUCCAAGGG